rnacentral:rRNA from 1 species
GAUAUGGCUCAGGAUGAACGCUAGCUACAGGCUUAACACAUGCAAGUCGAGGGGCAUCAGUUUGGUUUGCUUGCAAACCAAGGCUGGCGACCGGCGCACGGGUGAGUAACACGUAUCCAACCUGCCUCAUACUCGGGGAUAGCCUUUCGAAAGAAAGAUUAAUAUCCGAUAGCAUAUAUUUCCCGCAUGGGUUUUAUAUUAAAGAAAUUCGGUAUGAGAUGGGGAUGCGUUCCAUUAGUUUGG